rnacentral:lncRNA from 1 species
UUCAAACUACCCCUAUUUGAAAAGAUUUUGGGUUCGGGGGUUAGUUACAUAAAGGGAAGGUAUUAGCACCCUUUAUGUCCGUAGUACUCUACGGGAACCUCUUGAUUUUAUUUAAUUAAUGUGCUAUAACUUGCUUGCUUAUUUUUAAAAAGAAGGAAUUAAAGUGGAAAAAUAAAGACCUAAUUAUCUACAUUUUUUAUUGAUUUGGAAGGAC